AGUGAACGCUGGCGGUAGGCCUAACACAUGCAAGUCGAACGGCAGCACAGUAAGAGCUUGCUCUUACGGGUGGCGAGUGGCGGACGGGUGAGGAAUACAUCGGAAUCUACUUUUUCGUGGGGGAUAACGUAGGGAAACUUACGCUAAUACCGCAUACGACCUACGGGUGAAAGCAGGGGAUCUUCGGACCUUGCGCGAUUGAAUGAGCCGAUGUCGGAUUAGCUAGUUGGCGGGGUAAAGGCCCACCAAGGCGACGAUCCGUAGCUGGUCUGAGAGGAUGAUCAGCCACACUGGAACUGAGACACGGUCCAGACUCCUACGGGAGGCAGCAGUGGGGAAUAUUGGACAAUGGGCGCAAGCCUGAUCCAGCCCUGCCGCGUGGGUGAAGAAGGCCUUCGGGUUGUAAAGCCCUUAUGUUGGGAAAGAAAAGCAGCAGGUUAAUACCCCGCUGUUCUGACGGUACCCAAAGAAUAAGCACCGGCUAACUUCGUG
rnacentral:rRNA from 1 species